rnacentral:rRNA from 1 species
AGCUCCAAUAGUGUAUGCUAAAGUUGUUGCAGUUAAAAAGCUCGUAGUUGGAUUUCUGGUGUGGUGCGCCUGGCCCGGUCCCAAGUGGAUUGCGUGCCGGCGUGCACCGACCAUCCUUCAGGAGAACAGCUCUGCCAUUAACUUGGUUGGGGUUGGGAUCCUGAUCGUUUACUUUGAGAAAAUUAGAGUGUUUAAGGCAGGCUUAUGCCGUGAAUAGUACAGCAUGGAAUAAUAAGAUAGGACUUCGUGUGCUAUUUUGUUGGUUUCUAGCUGCGCGAAGUAAUGAUUGAUAGGGAUCGUUGGGGGUGCUAGUAUUAAACGGCCAGAGGUGAAAUUCUUGGAUUCGUUUAAGACUAACUUCUGCGAAAGCAUUCGCCAAGGAGGUCUUCUUUAAUCAAGA